GUAAUGGAAAGGCCUCAUUUGUGGGACCUCAACAACAAGUUUUUCAAACUGACUUUGCUUCUGCUCAAAGGGCUGAACUUAUGGCUGUGAUAACAGUGUUAAAAACUUUUAAAUAGCCUGUAAACAUUGUUUCUGAUUCAGCCUAUGUAGUGCAAGCCACACAAAAUAUUGAACGUGCCUUAAUUCAAAAUGUGACUAAAGACCAACUUAAUGUUUUAUUUCAUUCUUUACAGCAAGCAGUACAACAAAGGCAUUCCCCUUUCUAUGCACUCAUAUGAGAGCACAUACUAACUUCCCUGGCCCUUUAACUAAAUUUAAUCAAAAGGCGGAUAAUUAUAUGGGGAAGGAUUUGCUUGUGUCUCUCCAGGUAACAAUCAGGCACCUGUGUGGGUGCCCACCAAACAUCUGAAGAUCUAUCAUGAGCCACACCAGGAAGAGAGGACUCUGGGAAGAGCCAGAGCUCCUGAUAUGAGUGAUGGUACAAAUGAACAUCUCAGAGACAAAGGAGAAGACCAAUGGAGUGCCACUGGGUUAGAGUCUCCCCAACCAAGCUGGUCUCAGCAAGUGGUCUCCAUCAUGGGGGCUCGAAUCCAGGUCGAAGGGUCACCGGAGUGAUGGUUGGAGAACAUGGAACUAGUUGGAGGACACCUGAGUACUCUAAAAGCAAACCCCGUGUUAAUUGAAAAUGCUCAGUUACGAUUUCAUACAGAUGAACAACUGAAGACAAAAACAACAAAGGGGGAGAAAGAGGGAUUAUGGGACAGCCCAUAUACAAUUGAAUCUAGCAUUAAUAACUUUAAAUUUUUUGAGUCUGCCUAAAGGCCAGAUGUUAUCAGCAGCUGAACAGCAUUUACAGAAACCAGCUGCAAAGACAGAAGCAAAACAACUGGUUUGGUGGAGAGAUCCGAUAACAAAAAGUUGGGAAAUAGGUAAAAUAAUAACUUGGGGUAGAGGUUAUGUUUGUGUUUCUCCAGGCCAAAAUCAAUAACCAAUUUGGAUACCAUAAAGACACCUGAAACCUUAUCAUGAGCCAGAUGCUGAGGAAGAGAUUCCAGGAGGAUCCUGAGGACCCCCUGGUUGCAGCCAUGUUGAGGUUGACACUGAGGAGGACCCCAACUGUCAUGAGCAACACCCGUCGAACACAGCCAUCCACCUGAGGACAAAUCAAGAAGCUGUCACAGAUGAUGGAAGAAAACCUGAGGAAAGUGGGACAACCAAUCACAAUGAGUAAUUUGGUGAACUAUCACAGUGAUGAUCACCAUUGCCAUGAGUAUUCCUUCAACAAGGGCUGACACAGAGAACAAUUAUACUUAUUGGGCAUAUUUAUCAAUCUUGUCUGGCAAUAAUGCCUAGAUGAUUUCACUCUAUGGCACAGUUACACAUGCUUUCUGAUCUCAGUAUUUACCAUAAUAAAUCUACUCCUAUAAUCGAGGCAUACCACCCUCAAAAACCUAUUUGUAAACAAAAUAGAACCUGGCCAGAAAUAAUGAACAACUUGUUUAGUAAGAUUGCAUUGCAGAACAGGCAGAGAUGCUAUGCAACGAUUCCUAUGGGAUCAUUGAUUGGUCCCCUAAGGGGAUGUUUAGCUUAAAUUGCACCUCUCAGUCUGCAUGCCGUGGCCACACUAGUUCAGAUGGUCUGAACAAAGUGGUCAGAUGGCAGAAAUGAUAAGAAGUAUGGCAAAAGUUCCUAUUGUCUGGAACCAUGGCAGUAUAGUGUCACCUCAAACUCAAAUGAUAUGGCUCGUUGUAGGAGCUAAACAUAAGGAUUUGUGGAAACUAUUAAUAGCUCUUUAUAAGAUCAAAAUUUGGGAAAGAAUAAAAAAAGCAUCUAGAAAGACACUCUACAAACUUGUCUUUGGAUAUUACAAAAUUAAAAGAACAAAUAUUUAAAGCAUCCCAGGUACACCUGACCUUAAUGACAGAAACUGGAGUGCUUGAAGGAGCUGCAGACAGAUUAGCAGCUAGUAACCCAUUAAAAUGGAUAAAAACACUUGGAAGCUCUGUGAUUUCAAUGAUGAUUGUGCUUUUAAUCUGUAUUGUUUGUCUUUGUAUAGUGUGCAGAUGUGGAUCUGUGAGAAGUAGCUCACAGUGUCAAAGCUGCCUUUGCUUUUAUUGAUUUGCAAAUCAAAUAAGGGGGACAUGUUGGGAACAGGCCCCCCCUCCAAAAUCUGGCCAUAAACUGGUCCCAAAACUGGCCAUAAACAAAAUCUCUGCAGCACUGUGACAUGUUCAUGAUGGUCUUAAUGCCCACGCUGGAAGGUUGUGGGUUUACCAGAAUGAGGGCAAGGAACACCUGGCCCACCCAGGGUGGAAAACUGCUUAAAGGCAUUCUUAAACCACAAACAAUAGCAUGAGUGAUCUGUGCCUUAAGGCCAUGCUACUGCUGCAGAUAACUAGCCCAACCCAUCCCUUUAUUUCAGCCCAUCCCUUCGUUUCCCAUAAGGGAUACUUUUAAUUAAUCUAAUAUCUAUAGAAAGAAUGCUAAUGACUGGCUUGCUGUUAAUAAAUAACGUGGGUAAAUCUCUGUUGGAGGCUCUCAGCUCUGAAGGCUGUGAGACCCCUGAUUUCCCACUUCACACCUCUGU